GCGAAGGGAGGAAACAAGAUUAAACAUUUCCUGGACAUCAAAGAUUGAUUGAUUUCAAGCUCGGUGUGUCACUGUGAAGCUCUCCGGCAGACUUUAACCUCUGAAAAUGAGUCUACUCAGUCUACUCCACUCUUUGCUCUGUACGUGCAAUCCCUCCCAGCAUGGCGGCAUCUUCCCAGCCUGCUUUGCAUAUGACUGCAGGGUUCGGGAUCAAAGAGAGGAAGUUAUGAGGCAGGCAGCGGCAGGCCCCGUCUGAUGAAACUCUCGCUGCUGCCGUCAGAACGCCUGGGAGAGGUUUUACUGUACAGCCUGCACGCUUUGCAUUUAAACUUAAGACGCUCGGCUGACACGACGUUUCAGGAUGACUCGCUGGUAGCGCAGGUGGGGGGUCGCUGUAUCGCUCAAGGACUCGUUGACAGAAGUCGAAGGAGCUGAUGGACUCAUGCUGGCUCCAACUGGUGACCUUUCAGCUUCAGGAAAGACUCUUCAAAGCUGCAAUACGACAAACCCUCUCACUUGGAACUAUCACUAAAUAAAUAGGAACUAAACUUUAUCAGUCUGUGUGUUCAGACUGAUAAAAUACUUCAUUAAAUAUAUCCAGUAGAUGACUUUUUAAUGAACUGGAAAAAAAGGGUCUUUUCAACUUUCAAUUUCAUCCACCGUUUCAACAGUUUCUCAGCAGCAUUGUGCUCAGUGCUGCGUCUUUUUGUUGCUGGAUUAUCCUGCUUUUUGUUGUUGUUUUUAGCCCUUUGGAUUGUCACCCAGCUCUGCCACCGCAGUGGCAUCGUUGAAAUGGAUGACGGGGCUGCGUUCACUCAUGCAGCUCUGUCUGUCUGAACGCAGUUUGUCAGGGGUGGAUGUUUGUUUCAUCAGACGGCUCGGCAGGAGCAGUGCCCGGUUGCCCACCUGAGGAGGAGACCACAGAGACUUUCAUUAUACUUCGCUGCCUCAAGGCAAACAUUUCAAUAUUGUGACUUUGACCUCUCUGUCUCUCCCUUUCUGUCCCAACAGAUGUGUCAAUAACAGGAGGGCUGUUUUCAGAUUGUAUUGACCUCUGUAUUGAUGCAUUACCAUACAGGACAAACUGCAGACUCACUGCUGUAACACUGCGGCUUCUUCUCAAGCCAUACUCUUCUACUCUUUAUCUUCUUAUUUAAGUUCGGUUUUGGCUUUAUUUAUCACAUUGGCUUAUUAUUAUUAUUUAUCUUUUUGUCUCUAAUUAAUUUACACUGUCUUUCUGGGGAGUUCAGUCUGUUGGUCACCUUUCUCAGAGAACAACGGGCCGAUGCCAAGUGUUCAUAGCACGUGGUACGGCAGCCAGCCAAAGGCUUUUUGGAGCUCUAAGCAGAUAUCAAGGAGGAAAAAAUUAUAAUUUCUGGCUGCAGUUUUUGGAGCAAGCCAUGACACCCCAAACUGCGUACAGGCUUCCAGCAUUACCUGCUGUGGAUUCAGUGGCUGUAGUUCAAAAUGGAAUCAGUUUAGUGAAAUAAAGGAGUUCAUAAAUGUUGAAUAAAUGCUAUGAAAGUGUAAGUAAGCUGUAUCUGCAUUUUCAUAAACAAAUUUGGCA